rnacentral:lncRNA from 1 species
ACUUAAAAAAAAAAUCAAAAGAAAACCUUGCUUAUUCUGACCACUGGGCAGAUCACUAAUACAGGAACUAAACAGAGACAGAGUGGCUAUAGCCAAGCUGAUCUCUACAUGAAGUAGCUGACCCACAGUGCAGUGUAAUGCAAUCCUGGUAUCUUUGGCCUGCAGUGUCUUGUCUUGCUGAUGUGAGAUGCUUUUAAGUACCCUAAACACUGAAGUUGCUAACUUAUUCACUUAGACUAAUAACCGUUGGCUUUUGUAUCCUGCCAUGUUUAGGUAAGAUCUCAGCCAUUCCUAGAUUCCUGGAAGAGAGAUCCAAUCAGCUCACUAUAUAAAUGUCACCUUGGAUACGUUCCACACUGGAGAAAAUAGCACAUGUCUGGGAUGUGUUAGAAGACAGGCUGGGAACGGUUCCACAGCCGCGGGAGCAGGACGCCAUGCCCUGUCCAGGUAACUCAGAUGAACAGGUCUUAAAGGGCAGCUGUGCCUUCUGCUUCUCCAGGUGGACUUCAUUAGGCCACGGAGGAAGAGAAGGCCUCGUUGGUUGCCUGUCUACGAAGACUGGCAGAGACAGCUCUAUCAUUAGUAACAUUGACUUGAGACCCAGUAAUCAUCAGAACCCACCCCCAGGAAAAAAAAUGGGUCAUGGGAAUCCUCUGACCCUCAGGAGAACGAGGAUGAGGCCCUGGGCUAGGGUGAAGCUUUACAGUUCGUAUGGUGAGCCUUCUCUGACACUACCUCUUCUGAGUGGAGAGGGUUUCUGUUGUUCGUGUUUCUCAUAGUCUUCCUGCUUGCUGUAGGCCUAUUCCUGCUUUUUUUUUUUUUAAACAGGUAACCAUGCUCCACCCCCACCCUAACCCACCCCCCUCCGAUUUCCUGGGAUGACCCCUCUAGGAGAGUACUUCUAAGAACGCUGUAACCUAUCUUCUCAGGAAUCCCAACCCAUGGCAGCACCUGCGUCUUCACCACAGGCUGUCAGGAGGCAGAACAGUUACGAGCGCCAAUAGGGCAGGGACAAUGCUCUUGUCACUCAAGUCUCACAUGUACCUCAUAUAAUGCCUGGUGCAUAUAGCAUCUCCAAUUUUUAUUAGUAAUUUUUGGCACUCUUCUUUUCCUCUCUCUCUCUCUCUUCUUCCCUCUAUCCAUCCAUCCAUCCAUCCAUCCAUCCAUCCAUUUAUUUAUUUAUUUUAGUCUCACUGGGGAAAAGAGCCAGAGCCAAAGUGGCCAUGAGUUAGUGGCUUUGGAGAAGAAGUGGCCAGAGGGAAAGGGAACUGUUUGUGACGAGGCAGCUUAACCCUGGAUGUGAGGCUUAUCAGCUCUAAGGAAGCUUUACCCCAGUAUUUAUUUACCCCUUGAGAUAGAAAAAAGGUUGCUGUUCUUCAAGGCCCAUCAGGAUAAUUCCCUCCAAAUAUCCACUGACGGGACAAGACUGCUAGCGUGUUUUCUGAGCUAUAAUGAGUAUUUGGUAAGUGUGCUUGCUGUCAGUGUGACUGCCUCUAAAUGCUGGCAGGUGGACUGUGCCUAGAGUCACAGCCUGGUUUGCUGCUAUGCUGGCCUUGCCCAAGCACAGAUUCCCACAGUGACUGGACAAAGAGGCUUUGUUUCAUCUUGUCUUCCGAAGUUAAUAUAUAUGAAUGGUUAUGAGGGACUAGGUCAGCCAUUCUCAACCUGUGGGUCAUGACCCCUUUAGGGGAUCAAAUGACCCUUUCACAGGGUUCAUCUAGGACCAUUGGAAAGCACAGAUAUUUACAUUAUGAUUCAUAACAGUAGCAAAACUACAGUUAUGAAGUAGCCAUGAAAUAAUUUUAUGGCUGGGAAUCACCACAACAUGAAGAAGUGUAUUAAAGGGCCGCAGCAUGAGGAAGGUUGAGAACCAUUGAGCUAAGUAUCAGACUCCCAGGUAGGCAGCUGGAUAGGAAGAAGAACCUGGGCUAGGUUUAAAAGGUAUCAAGUUUUUCCUUCGGGUGUCUCUUGCCUUUUAAUUAGUUCAUUGACAAAGAAAAUGAGUCCAUUCAAAGCCCUCUAGACUGUACCAUUUCUAGACUCUGUCAGCUGUAUAAAUGUACCCAAGGUGUCACAGUCACCUCCCUAGACAUGGGAAAAGCCUUGACGAAAUCCAACCUCCCUCCACCCCUAAUAAAAGUUUUGAAGAAGCUUUGAAUAGAAAGAACAUAUCCCAACAUAAUGAAAGCUAUAUAUGACAGACCUGUAUCCCACAUUCUACUAACUGCGGAGAAACAGAGCAGGGGUGAUGGCAGGAUGUGACCCAUAGGACACUUGCGAGGAUGUAUGCUUUGCACAGCACAGUGUCUGACAUCAUGAAUGCUCUGGGAGAGAAGGGAGUUCUUAUUCUGACUUGCCGUUAACCAGGGUGUGGGGAAGCUUGCUUUCCCCCCAAGUGUCCUAUGCCCAUAAGCACCAGAGUGAAGGGAGAGUAAAAUAUGACCCUCUAAGCAUGGGUCCCAAGUAGUUGCUAAAGUAAUUUACAGUUGGGAAAGCUGUGAUCAACCUACUUGAGGCACUAAAGAGUAUGGGGAGGGGGAAGACUCCUAAUUUAUCACAGGCAAUAAAUAAUAGCGACUUACACUACACUAAGAAAGCCACUGCCAGAGAGAUUAACUUAGAAGAUACCAUUGACACGAAGCAUUUGUUAUUAUUUCUCCCUGAGGAUGACUGCAGGUGAGUUUGAGCUUUCGUUUUUAUAUGAUACUUUGUACUUCUUCAGGUCAGACCUAGGGUUGGUCCUGCUGUGUGCGUGAGUGCGCCCUUUGUCUUUCAUUUCCUAUCUCACUGUUACCUCUGCCCC